GAUUAUUUAUAAUCGGGAUAGUGGCGAAAGGGUUAGUAAUAGAUAGGUAACGUACCCUGUGCUUCGGAAUAGCGUCAUUCGCCUUCGGGCGAAUUUCCGAAAGGGACGGUAAUACCGAAUAAUAUCAGUUGUCGAUGGGCAACUGAUCAAAGAUUUAUCGGCAUUGGAGCGGCCUAUCUCCUAUCAGCUUGUUGGUGAGGUAACGGCUCACCAAGGCAGCGACGGGUAGCGGGACUGAGAGGUUGGCCCGCAACAUCGGGACUGAGACACUGCCCGGACCUCCACGGAGGGCUGCAGUAACGAAUCUUGCGCAAUGGGCGAAAGCCUGACGCAGCGACGCCGCGUGCGGGAGGAAGUCCUUCGGGAUGUAAACCGCUGUCAGGGGUAAGAAAGUCCGCUUCGGCGGAUUGAUCUAACCCAAAGGAAGUCACGGCUAACUUCGUGCCAGCAGCCGCGGUAAGACGAAGGUGGCGAGCGUUGUUCGGUGUUACUGGGCUUAAAGCGUGUGUAGGCGGGUUGGUUAGCGUCUUGUGAAAUCCCUCGGCUUAACCGAGGAAUGGCUGGGCGAACUGCCAACCUUGAGGCAGGCAGGGGCGCAUGGAACUCUUGGUGGAGCGGUGGAAUGCGUAGAUAUCAAGAGGAACGCCGAUGGAGAAAUCAGUGCGCUGGGCCUGUCCUGACGCUGAUACACGAAAGCGUGGGGAGCGAACGGGAUUAGAUACCCCGGUAGUCCACGCUGUAAACGAUGUCUACU
rnacentral:rRNA from 1 species